UACGUAGGGGGCAAGCGUUGUCCGGAGUCAUUGGGCGUAAAGGGUGCGUAGGCGGCUUUUUAAGUUUGGUGUGAAAUCUCCCGGCUCAACUGGGAGGGUGCGCCGAAUACUGAGAGGCUAGAGUGUGGGAGAGGAAAGUGGAAUUCCUGGUGUAGCGGUGAAAUGCGUAGAUAUCGGGAGGAACACCGGUGGCGAAGGCGGUUCUCUGGGCCUUACCUGACGCUGAGGAGCGAAAGCGUGAGGAGCGAACAGG
rnacentral:rRNA from 1 species